UGGGGAAUAUUGGACAAUGGGCGAAAGCCUGAUCCAGCCAUGCCGCGUGUGUGAAGAAGGUCUUCGGAUUGUAAAGCACUUUAAGUUGGGAGGAAGGGCAGUUACCUAAUACGUGAUUGUUUUGACGUUACCGACAGAAUAAGCACCGGCUAACUCUGCG
rnacentral:rRNA from 1 species